rnacentral:misc_RNA from 1 species
AACGCAUAUGGCACCCGAGACUUCGGUCGAGGGUAUGUCUGCCUCAGAGUCGGCGUAAAACAACUCCCCCGUUGGCGCACGGCGUCGACGGGGGGAACUGACCUUCCCGCGCCGAUGGUGCGGGUCGGUCGAAGGAGAGACACGGGUGUGGCUGGUUGGACGACGUUCCCGACCGACCGAGAUUUGUUGGAAGGACUCACGUCCGAACUCCGUCCCGGUACGAGGGUUACGUAUACCGACCUAGGCUCUCCCGCAAAGCAGGAAAAAGAGGUUCGGAGAGCGGCUCUGCCGCCCCCGACACCCCCUUGCAUCCGACCUGAGUUCAGGCAAGAUCACCCGCUGAACUUAA